CACUGAAUGCAUGAUGUCACUUAAGUCUGGGAGGGUUGGGCUGUAGAGUGAACAUUGGGAUAGGGCCAAGGAUUUGUCAAUCGAUCUCAUUGCUUGUUAUAGCAUCUUUGACCUUAGCUAUUUUCUUCUAGGUUGUCUUUACUUUAGUACCACAUAGCCAACUUUUGUCAGCUUCUUUUCCUCCUUUUCUUUGCAGAUUCUUUCUCAAGUGCCAGUAUCAGCUCAAGUUUUCUUUCCCCUGAUUCAGCCCUGAUGCUUCUCCAAACCCGGGACACAUGUUUAAUUGAAUGACGGCGGGACAGCUGCAGAUUCACCGUGUCGACUUUUUUGCAACACUAAUCUGAUGCAAAUGUAAUGCUAAUGUGGCAGCGGCGGUGAGCCUGGAGGGAGUUAGAAGAUUUGAUGCUGUCAUAGUUAAAAAAAAAAGUGCCAGUUUGGAUGAUGCUGCUCGUACUUUUAUUUGAAUUAAAUUAAUGCACCCCA